rnacentral:rRNA from 1 species
AACGCGAAGAACCUUACCUACCCUUGACAUGUCAAGAAUCUCGCAGAGAUGUGAGAGUGCUCGAAAGAGAACUUGAACACAGGUGCUGCAUGGCCGUCGUCAGCUCGUGUCGUGAGAUGUUGGGUUAAGUCCCGCAACGAGCGCAACCCUUGCCAUUAGUUGCUACGAAAGGGCACUCUAAUGGGACUGCCGGUGACAAACCGGAGGAAGGUGGGGAUGACGUCAGGUCCUCAUGGCCCUUAUGGGUAGGGCUACACACGUCAUACAAUGGCCGGUACAGAGGGCUGCCAACCCGCGAGGGGGAGCUAAUCCCAGAAAACCGGUCGUAGUCCGGAUCGCAGUCUGCAACUCGACUGCGUGAAGUCGGAAUCGCUAGUAAUCGCGGAUCAGCUUGCCGCGGUGAAUACGUUCCCGGGUCUUGUACACACGC